GGGCUUUUAGCUCAGUUGGCUAGAGCGUUCGCCUCACACGCGAAAGGUCGCUGGUUCGAGUCCAGCAAGGCCCACCA
rnacentral:tRNA from 1 species